rnacentral:rRNA from 1 species
AUACGUAGGGUGCGAGCGUUGUCCGGAAUUACUGGGCGUAAAGAGCUCGUAGGCGGUUUGUCGCGUCGUCUGUGAAAUUCCGGGGCUUAACUCCGGGCGUGCAGGCGAUACGGGCAUAACUUGAGUACUGUAGGGGAGACUGGAAUUCCUGGUGUAGCGGUGAACUGCGCAGAUAUCAGGAGGAACACCGGUGGCGAAGGCGGGUCUCUGGGCAGUAACUGACGCUGAGGAGCGAAAGCAUGGGUAGCGAACAGGAUUAGAUACCCUGGUAGUCCAUGCCGUAAACGGUGGGCGCUAGGUGUAGGGGUCUUCCACGACUUCUGUGCCGUAGCUAACGCAUUAAGCGCCCCGCCUGGGGAGUACGGCCGCAAGGCUAAAACUCAAAUGAAUUGACGGGG